CAACAAAGAACACUUCCUCUGUGCUAGCAAGGCUGCAGUAAAUUGCUAUUAAAACAAAUUCAGCCUCUUAGUUGCUACCAUCUUGCCAUUAGGUAAAGUUCCAGACCCAUUAAUCAACCUCUCUGUUUCUCUCAUCAACAUGGCUCACCCUUCCCAGCCUCUGAUAUCUCUCAUUCUACUCUCUACCUCUAUGAGAUCAACUUUUUAGUUCCCACGUGUGAGGUCCUAAUCAGGAUAUCACAUUGUAUUUACUAAGGAUGUCUCCUCAGACCCCUAUUGGCUGUAACAGAUUCUCAGUCUUUUCUUGUUUUCUAUGACUUUGCAGUUUGGAGGAGUACUAGUGAGGUUUUUUUGUAAAAUGUUUUUCAUUUGAGUUCUCGUGAUACUUUUCUCAUGGUUACAAAGGGGUUUGAAGUUUUGGGGGAGGAAGACCACAGAUUUCUGUUAAGAUUCCUGCAUUUGCUCAAGAUAUUUUUUCUUUGUGAGUGUGGUGUUCGUUGUAAUCUUUGGAAUAUAAAAUGAUACGUUUGAAGAAUGAUAAAUGUUUAGUUAAUACUCUUGAUUCAAUACAAAAAGUAUGGUAUUAGCAUAAUUCUUUAUGAGGAACAAGUGAACAUGUUGUAGUGAAUAACUGCCAGUGAAGACCAAGUUGGAUGUGUUUAUUUCUAGUUAUCUUUCCUUAGGGACAAAACAAGCUUGUGUGAUUAAACUUUUGUUAGUUUUUUAAAAACCUGUUAUGCAUUGGAAUAGUGAAUGCCAUUAUUUGAAAGAUCAAUGCUUUCCCAGGAAAACUGAGCACAAAGUCAUUUUCCAACAACUUUGUCUACCAUUAGUCACAAAAUAGAAUAUACAGACAUGGCAGGGCCAUCAUGGAGGUCCAGACAUAGGGUAUUCUGUUU